rnacentral:rRNA from 1 species
GACGAACGCUGGCGGCGUGCUUAACACAUGCAAGUCGAACGUGAUUUUUGUGGAAAUUCUUUCGGGAAUGGAAAUGAAAUGAAAGUGGCGAACGGGUGAGUAACACGUGAGCAACCUACCUUACAUAGGGGGAUAGCCGUUGGAAACGACGAUUAAUACCGCAUGAGACCACAGAAUCGCAUGAUAUAGGGGUCAAAGAUUUAUCGGUGUAAGAAGGGCUCGCGUCUGAUUAGCUAGUUGGAAGGGUAAAGGCCUACCAAGGCGACGAUCAGUAGCCGGUCUGAGAGGAUGAACGGCCACAUUGGAACUGAGACACGGUCCAAACUCCUACGGGAGGCAGCAGUGGGGAAUAUUACACAAUGGGGGGAACCCUGAUGCAGCGACGCCGCGUGAGCGAAGAAGGUUUUCGAAUCGUAAAGCUCUGUCCUAUGAGAAGAUAAUGACGGUAUCAUAGGAGGAAGCCCCGGCUAAAUACGUG